AAGGAAAUGGAAACGAUUGGUCGUCUUAUUUAGUUUUGAGAGGUCUUGUGGGGCCUUAGCUCAGCUGGGAGAGCGCCUGCUUUGCACGCAGGAGGUCAGCGGUUCGAUCCCGCUAGGCUCCAUAGAGUAGCGAUACUCUAGGAUAGUCCAUUGACAAUUGAAUAUCUAUAUCAAAUUCCACGAUCUUGAAAAAGAUUGUAGAAAAGUAACAAGAAAAUAAACCGAAAACGCUGUGAAUUAAUGAGUUUUCUAGUUUAAAGAAACUAGGUUAAU
rnacentral:tRNA from 1 species